UUGUGGGUUGCCGCUGCCGCUGCCGCUGCUGGCUGCUGGAGUGUAAAUUGUCUGACAGGGAGGUGAGGGGACCUGUGCACGGGCAUUAAAAAGAGAAGUAAGUUUCAAGGGGUUUCGGUGCGCAGUUUCCAAGUCAACGCGGAGGCAGACUUGAGAGCGACAAAUGAUUUGUACGAGUCUCAGCAACAGGGCGCAGAGCGAAAUGUCAGGGACUGUUUCAGCCUUGAGCAAAGGGAAGCGCGACUAGUACACCGCAACGCGGAAAAUAUUCAGGGGGGAGAGAAUGCGAAUGGUGCGAAGAUACCGAAAUCAAACAAAAUGGACACGAUGUAGCGUCGCUGCGGCAUUCCAUAUAGCUAGAACUAACGUUAGAGUAGAGAAUAGAUAGCCAAGGAGCUAGCUGGUUAACUAACAUACAUGUAAAGUCAUUCCCCCGAGAAGCUGAAGCAGAGCCUGGAGGCGUCUGUUGAAUCAGAAGAGUUCAUCAGUGUUGCGAAAUCAAAGAAGAUUAAAAGAAGAUGCUACGGAGAAGACUGAACCGUUUGCUCGGCGGUGAUGAGAGAAGAGUUGACAGUAGGACUAUCUAUGUCGGUCAUCGGUCAGGCUCCACCAAUGAGGCUAUCAUCCCACCCAAGUUCUGUGAUAACAGGAUUGUAUCCUCCAAGUAUACAGUUUGGAACUUUCUACCAAAGAACCUGUUUGAACAAUUUAGAAGAAUUGCCAAUUUCUACUUCCUUAUCAUCUUCCUGGUGCAGGUGAUAGUGGACACUCCCACCAGCCCAGUCACCAGUGGCCUACCCUUAUUUUUUGUGAUCACAGUAACGGCUAUCAAGCAGGGCUAUGAGGACUGGCUACGGCACAAGGCUGACAAUGAGGUGAAUAAAUACCCAGUGACAGUGCUAGAGGACGGCCGCAGGAUACGGAAGGAGAGUGAGAAGAUCAAGGUUGGGGAUGUUGUGGAGGUGGAGGAAGAUGAGACCUUUCCCUGUGAUUUGAUUCUGCUGCAGUCUAGCCGAGAUGACGGCACAUGUUUCGUUACCACAGCAAGUCUUGAUGGAGAGUCCAACCAUAAAACACACUACACCGUGCCAGAUGCAGAGAGGGAUCUGGAAUCUCUCAACGCCACCAUCGAGUGUGAACAGCCACAGCCUGACCUUUACAAGUUUGUUGGCCGUAUGCACAUCUACACAAAUAAUCAGGAGCUGGCAGUGAGGUCUUUGGGCCCAGAAAACCUACUGCUGAAAGGCGCCACUUUAAAGAACACUCAGAAAAUCUGUGGUGUUGCAGUUUACACUGGCAUGGAGACAAAGAUGGCUCUCAACUAUCAGGGCAAAUCUCAGAAACGCUCUGCUGUGGAGAAGUCUAUCAAUGCCUUCCUCCUUGUUUACCUUUGCAUAUUGGUGAGCAAGGCCCUAGUGUGCACUACACUUAAGUACGUGUGGCAGAGCAAGCCCGGACAGGAUGAGCCUUGGUACAAUGAGAAAACCCAGAGAGAGAAGGAGACCAAUCUGUACCUAAAGAUGUUCACUGACUUCCUGUCCUUCAUGGUGCUCUUCAAUUUCAUCAUUCCGGUGUCCAUGUACGUGACAGUGGAGAUGCAAAAGUUUUUGGGAUCCUUUUUCAUCACAUGGGACAAGGACUUCUUUGACCCUGAAAUCCAAGAGGGGGCACUGGUCAACACUUCCGACCUCAAUGAGGAGCUGGGGCAGGUGGAGUAUGUCUUCACAGACAAGACGGGUACCCUCACUCAGAAUAACAUGGAGUUCAUCGAGUGCUGCAUCGACGGCUUCCAGUACAAGUACCGGGACGCAAGCUCAGAGUUGGACGGAUUCUGCGUCACAGAUGGACCUGUGAGCAAACUACAGGAGAAAGCUGGCAGGGAGAAAGAAGAGCUGUUUCUGCGUGCCCUGUGUCUAUGCCACACGGUCCAGGUGAAGGAGUCUACAGAGCAGGGUCAAGGCCAAGCGGACGGACUGACAGACCAGGUGGAUGGCUUAGGGGUGGAUGGAGAGGUGGUCCAUCCACUGCAGGAGCAGCGAGGCUUUAUAGCUUCCUCACCCGAUGAGGUUGCUCUGGUCAAGGGUGCCAUGAGGUAUGGCUUCACAUUUCUGGGUCUGGAAAGUAAAACCAUGAAAAUUCUCAACAGGAACAAUGAUGUUGAAAUGUAUGAACUCCUUCACGUAUUGAACUUUGACCCAGUGAGAAGGCGAAUGAGUGUAAUAGUCAGGUCAAGAUCAGGUGAAACACUGCUCUUCUGCAAGGGAGCUGACUCUUCUAUCUUUCCCCGUGUCAGGCAGGAAGAGGUUGAAAGGAUACGCAUGCAUGUGGAGCGCAAUGCAACCGAGGGCUACCGGACACUGUGUGUGGCCUACAAAUGUCUCAGUCCAGAGGAGUACGCCCAGGCAGAUGAAGGACUGAAGGAAGCUAGACUGGCUCUGCAGGACAGAGAAGAGAAGCUCAUGGCUGUUUACAACCAAGUGGAGACUGGGAUGAGUCUGAUAGGAGCUACUGCUGUAGAAGAUCGGCUUCAAGAGGAGGCAGCAGAGACCAUGGAGGCUCUGCAGGGGGCAGGCAUGAAGGUUUGGGUCCUGACAGGGGACAAGAUGGAGACGGCAAAGUCUACCUGCUAUGCUUGUAGGUUGUUCCAGAGAAAUACAGAGCUGUUGGAGCUGACAGUGCGCACUCUGGAGGAUGGAGGGAGGAGGCGUGAGGAACGGCUGCAUGACCUCUUGAUUGAAUAUCAUAAGAAAGCUGUGCAGGAUGCACCACCAGUUAAGGCAGGCGUCACCAGGACCUGGUCUUCGGCAAACCAAGACUAUGGUUUCAUUAUAGAUGGAGCCACUCUGUCAAUGGUGCUCAACUCCUCCUCCUCUGAAUCCAACUCAAGUCGCUACAAGAACCUGUUCCUGCAGAUUUGUCAAAACUGCACAACUGUGCUCUGCUGCCGCAUGGCUCCUCUACAAAAGGCACAGAUAGUUAAAAUGGUGAAGAACUCUAAAGGCAGCCCAAUCACUCUUUCCAUUGGAGAUGGUGCCAAUGAUGUCAGCAUGAUUUUGGAAGCUCAUGUUGGAAUUGGUAUUAAGGGUAAAGAGGGUCGGCAGGCAGUGAGGAACAGUGAUUAUGCCAUCCCCAAACUGAAGCACCUCAAGAAACUUUUGUUGGCUCAUGGGCAUCUCUACUAUGUUCGCAUUGCACACUUGGUGCAGUAUUUCUUUUACAAGAACCUUUGCUUCAUCUUACCUCAGUUUUUGUACCAGUUCUUCUGCGGCUAUUCCCAGCAACCCCUGUAUGACGCGGCCUAUCUGACGAUGUACAACAUCUGCUUCACCUCUAUGCCCAUCCUGGCUUAUAGCCUCUUGGAGCAGCACAUCUGCAUUGAGGUUCUGCUGGACAAUGCUACCCUCUACAGAGGGAUUGCUAAGAAUGCCAUGUUACGGUGGGGACCAUUCCUCUACUGGACAUUACUGGGAGUCUUCCAUGGCUUGCUCUUCUUCUUUGGUGUUCGGUAUCUGUUUAGUAACCCAGCACUGCAGGACAACGGCCAGGUUUUUGGGAACUGGUCAUAUGGAACAAUAGUCUUCACUGUCCUUGUCUUCACUGUCACAUUAAAGCUUGCUCUGGACACACGUCACUGGACGUGGAUCAACCACUUUGUAAUCUGGGGAUCCCUGGCUUUCUACGUGUUUUUCAGCUUCUUCUGGGGAGGAAUAAUAUGGCCUUUCCUGAGGCAGCAGCGUUUGUACUUUGUGUUUGCCAACAUGCUGAGCUCGGUGUCAGCCUGGCUGGUCAUCAUCUUGCUCAUCCUCGUCAGCCUACUGCCAGAGAUCCUGCUUGUGGUGUUCCGCAAGCCCCGUGGCCCCCACGCUCGACAGAUGAAACAUCGCCUUCCUUCCUCGGGGACAUCUACUAUCUUCAUGUUGUCGCAGACCGCUAGCACUCACAGCUUCUCGUGGAGUGACUGAGAAGAAGCUGGUUCAGUCGAGCGUGGGGAGCCUCCAGUCUCCCCGGUCUUCAGCCAGACCCCUGCUCAUGAGAACCUUUUCAGAUGAGUCCAAUACUGUCUUUUAAGCAGAUCGCAGCUGUCACACCACUGUCCUACAAGCACCUGAAGGAGCGUGAGUAAAAGGCAUCAAGGACUCACAACAAUGGUGGCAUCAGCCACAUUCAGGAUCCCGUGCUAGUUGGGUCAGAGCUGAUCUGAGAAGAAGAGGAGGAAAAAAUGAGAAGAAAAAGAGAGAUGUUCUGACUGGGGGGAGGGGAUGAAAAGGGAUUUAGCAGUCUUUUGACUUGUGUCUUACUGCUCUGUCCGUCCUCUGCCCAAUCCCAGCAGCUCCUAACCCCCAACGCAUGCCUGCAGAGCAGUGCCCUGCAUUAUUUUUUAAAAUAUCUACUCAGAUGACAGGCAUGAGUUUUCUUUCUUUUACUUCUUCUUUUUUUUUUUUUUUCUUUUUCUUUUUUUUUUUUUAAAUACUAGCUUACAAAUGAAUGCAUACACGGCUGCCUUGUCAGUAGCUCUAUCCAACUGCUGUGUUUUAACAAGCAGUUGUAAUAUCCACUCCAAGAAUGGUUCACCUGCAUGAAAGAAGGCUCAAAAGAACGCUUUACUCCACUGAUGUUCAGUCACUGUAUUCUGCAAAGUUUUUAUUAAGACAUGAUGAUCCCAUUCUCGGCAGUUACAUAGGUUAUUCUACUUUACAAUUUUAGAGUUAGUACGCUUUUCAACAUUGUUCUUUAAAUGAUUAUCAUAUUUUCUUUUCAGAAAAUACACCCACCCACAUGUCCAAAUAGUUCAAAAUAAAAAGUUACUGAAUGUGAUUUCAGUCCAGCUCAGAGCUACAAACCAACUGUUAGAACAGUUUUCUGGUUUAUAGAUUAUUAUAUGAUUAUUUGUUUCCAAUGGUGAAUCUACAGUCUCUAUUGAAUACUAAGGUAUAAACAGAGGUAAUGGAGACCAUAUUACCACUCAAUCCAAAAAGUGUGCGUGUGUGGAUGCAAGAUUGAGAGAUAGAUUAGAGAUGUUAAGCAUAUUCUGGUAAUGAAACAUUGCUUAGAGAAUGACCUAAAUCUUUCAACCUCAGAGAUAAUUUAAGAGAGUCCAAUUAAGAUGAGAAGAUUAAUAUAUGUAUCGUACUGUAUAUAGCUUAGAGAUGUAUGACAGCACCUGCUCAAAGCCAAAAAGAUGAACAUAAUGCUAUCGGAGUCUGUCCACACGAAUGUGACCUGAAAGUGACAUGUCGGUGUGUGUCUAUCCGUGUGUUAUGUAAGUAAGUGCAACUGUACUGGAUGAGAAAAGCCAGAAAUGCCUGUGUGUAAUGGAAACCAGGAUUACUUGAACCUUGUUGAUGUAGUUCAGUUAGACAUUUCCUGCACUAUUAAGGAAGGUUUAUUCAUUGCAUAGCUGGUCACUAAGGCACAUGAAUAUAUGCCUGAGCAUACGCACGCACAUAUCUGAUAGGUGAGAACAUUAAACACACAAAUAACCACACAUGUUAUACACAUAAAUGCACACAUGCACUAAAGCCUAAAUGAGGUAUUUAUGUUCAUUAUCCUAGUUUGUGUAAUUUGUCUCAGUCAGGCUGAAGUUGGAGUGUAAAGAGAUCCUCCAAACUCCAGACCUGCAGAGUCAACCUAGUCCAUGCUACUGUGAGGCUCCAUGUUCUUUCUUCUGUUUCAGGUCCAAUCUGCUGACUCUCAGGAUGAGAGUUGACUGUUUGGCCUUUUCUUCCUUCAUUUAACUUGUUGUGUGUAGUGCUUCAUACAUUCCAUUUAAACAUGCCAUGAUAUCAAACACUUUAAGAUACUGUUUUGGAUUUUUUUUUUUUUUUCCCUACACAAAUAUGUAUCGUCUAUUUGGCAUAUUUAUUGUUAAGUGAAAUUUUACUCACAAAUGUUAUAUUUUUAUUGCAUAAAUAUUUUUUAUUGUGGAGAGUGAUCAGCUUUGUGCCAGUUGAGUUUAGCCUGUGUUACUCCAGCCCUGAUGUGAGCCCUUGCCAAUUCCAUUUGAUAAUCUUUGUCAUAUACACAAAGACAGGCAGCCCCCCCAAACACACUCCCAACAUCCCAAAGUCAACCUCUGAACCGAUGCCACUCCUUUUGCAGGUGAUCUAACUCUUGAUUUAAACUAGUGAUUACCUGUCACUGAUCGUUUAUGUUUUGUGUUACAGCCAACUGUUACAGAAUCUGUUAGUAUGGUGAUUUUAAAGUUCACAACUUCACUGAUCUCUGCUCGAAAAAUAACCCCACUACAAUAGUUUUUGGUACUGGUCUUGUAUUUCACACCACUGAUUGUAGCCUGACAUAUGUGAUACAGCUCAUCUGCAGAAUGGCGCAGGCAGUCAUAACACCAAGUGGAGAUUUAAAUCAAGUUAAUGUUGCUUUGUUCUUAACAAAUGAAAAAAAUUUACACACCUUUCAGCGACAUUUUCUACUAAGACAGUCUGUUUUUCUGAUGUUAGGCUUGCGGAGGAGGCUGUUCUUUACUCUGUGAUAUGUCACCUCCAGACUGCACUGUGCCGGAUAUACUGGAUGUAAGAGGACUCACUUGAGAGGGGCUGCCUGCUUUGUCAAAUGAAAAACCUUUAAGUGACAUCAGAGAUGCUAUUUUCUUCGAAUCUAAUGUUUUGCCUGUCUAAUGAAAAGUAUAAAAGAAUGGAUUGUAUUUUUAAUGCAACCUUUUUCCAGCCACUUUUUGUAAGAAAAUCAAAAAUGUCCAAAAAAAAGCACGAGAGGCUCUGUGGUCGUGGACGCUGUCCCUGUCUGUGAGGGGUGGAGGUGGACACCUUCAGGCACCUCAGCAGCCCUGCCUCAUACAGCAGGGACACCUUGCCACCUCCAGCCCUUUGGGUCUCCAGUCUCAACACUCCAAACCUCCAAGCUGAAUGUACCUCUUUGAAACUAGUAUAUUCAAAACCUGAAGAUUUUCUGUAAUAAAGCAGAAUGUUUUGAAGAUA